AAGAGAAAAUUUCAAGGGGUGAGUAAGCAGGUAGCUGUGUUAAGUGGGAUAAUGAAGUCACAGAGGAAGCUAAAGGAUGAAGUAUAAUAGAAUAUAGCCUGUUGGAUCUGAUGAUGAAGUCACCAAUGACCUCUGAAGUAACAAUUCCAUCAGAAUGGCAGGUGAUGAAACCAGAUUUCAAGGAUCCAAAGAGGGUGAUGAGGAAACAAAGGCACAGAGAGAUUACGUAACUGGUGAAUGGAGAGCUCAAGACCCAAGCAGGGAGUCUGACUCCAGAGCCUUGCUUAUCAUCCCUGGGAUGUUAACGUGCACUGAGGAAACAUGCCUUGAAGAGAAAGAGCGCAAGCAAGAGAGGGGUAGAGAGAGAGGAGACACAGCAUCUGCAGCAGGUUCCAAGCUCCAAACUGUCAGCACAGAGCCCAACACCGGGCUCAAACCGACAAGCAGUGAGAUCAUGACCUGAGCCGCAGUCAGACGCUUAAACGACUUGAGCCACCCGGGUGUCCCACUACUUUCUCUUAAAUUGCUAUUUUCAGAUGGAAAAAACCAAGUUCCUCUAAAUAAAUGCACACAUAAUAUCGCCAUCUAAUAUAAUCAAAGCACAUCUACUGUAGCUGUCU